rnacentral:rRNA from 1 species
CCCUUAGAUGUUCUGGGCCGCACGCGCGCUACACUGAUGCAUUCAACGAGUUUCUUCCUGGUCCGAGAGGAAUGGGUAACCUUUUGAAAGUGCAUCGUGAUAGGGAUAGACUAUUGCAAUUAUUGGUCUUCAACGAGGAAUUCCUAGUAGACGUAGUUCAUCAGACUGCAUCGAUUACGUCCCUGCCCUUUGUACACACCGCCCGUCGCUCCUGCCGAUCGAAGAGUUAGGUGAAUUGUUUUGAUCGAUAAGAUUUGACUAUGGUCAACUCUCGUUGUGAAAUUCUGUGAAUCUGACUGUUUAGAGGAAGGAAAAGUCGUAACA